AUACUUACCUGGCAGGGGAGAUACCAUGAUCACAAAAGUGGUUUUCCCAGAGUGAAGCUUAUCCAUUGCACUCCAGAUGUGCUGACCCCUGCGAUUUCCCCAAAUGUGGGAAACUUGACUGCAUAAUUUGUGGUAGUGGGAGACUGCGUUCGCGCUCUCCCCUG
rnacentral:snRNA from 1 species